CAACUCUGAGCGGUGGAUCACUCGGCUCGUGUGUCGAUGAAGAGCGCAGCCAACUGUGUGAAUUAAUGUAAAC
rnacentral:rRNA from 1 species